rnacentral:rRNA from 1 species
ACACGUGAAAUCCUGUCUGAAUAUGGGGGGACCAUCCUCCAAGGCUAAAUACUCCUGAAAGACCGAUAGUGAACAAGUACUGUGAAGGAAAGGUGAAAAGCACUUCGAAUAGAAGGGUGAAAAAGAACCUGAAACCGUACGCCUACAAGCGGUCGGAGCAGUUAUAUACUGUGACGGCGUGCCUUUUGCAUAAUGAGCCUACGAGUUAAUUUUACUAGCGAGGUUAAGGUAUUAAGUACUGGAGCCGGAGCGAAAGCGAGUCUGAAUAGGGCGAAUAGUUAGUGGGAUUAGACGCGAAACCUUGUGAUCUACCCAUGGGCAGGUUGAAGCACUGGUAACACAGUGUGGAGGACCGAACCGGUUGACGUUGAAAAGUCUUCGGAUGACCUGUGGGUAGGGGUGAAAGGCCAAUCAAACUGGGAGAUAGCUCGUACUCCCCGAAAUGCAUUUAGGUGCAGCGUUGAUUUAGUUUAUUAGAGGUAGAGCUACUGAUUGGAUGCGGGGGUUUCACCGCCUACCAAUUCCUGACAAACUCCGAAUGCUAAUAAAUAUUGAUCAGCAGUGAGGGCAUGGGUGCUAAGGUCCAUGUCCGAGAGGGAAAGAACCCAGACCAACAGCUAAGGUCCCUAAAUAUAUGCUAAGUUGAAACAACGCGGUUGAACUGCAUUGACAGCUAGGAUGUUGGCUUGGAAGCAGCCAUUCAUUUAAAGAGUGCGUAACAGCUCACUAGUCGAGCGGUUCGGCAUGGAUAAUAAUCGGGCAUAAGCAUAUUACCGAAGCUAUGGCAACGAAAGUUGGGUAGGGGAGCAUUCUAUCGGCGCAGAAGCAUCACUGUGAGGUGAUGUGGAGCUUAUAGAAAAGAAAAUGUAGGCAUAAGUAACGAUAAAGCAGGCGAGAAACCUGCUCACCGAAAGACUAAGGGUUCCUCAGCCAUGCUAAUCAGCUGAGGGUUAGUCGGGACCUAACGCGAACCCGAGAGGGGAAGUGGAUGGACAAUGGGUUAAUAUUCCCAUACUUGCUCACGAAUAAAGGGGACGGUUCAGCUAGACUACUGGAGACUGACGGAAUAGUCAAGACCUAGCCUACGGGCGAAGUUGUUGUAGAGUAACUGGAUCCAAGAAAAGCCGAAGUGAAGCAACCCGUACCAUAAACCGACACAGGUAGUCGAGGAGAGAAUCCUAAGGUGCUCGAGUGAGUCGUGGCUAAGGAACUAGGCAAAAUAGUCUCGUAACUUCGGAAUAAGAGACGCCAACAGCGAUGUUGGCCGCAGUGAAGAGGCCCAGGCGACUGUUUAUCAAAAACACAGGACUCUGCUAAAUCGAAAGAUGCUGUAUAGGGUCUGACACCUGCCCGGUGCUGGAAGGUUAAGGAAGGUGCUUAGCGUAAGCGAAGGCAUUGACUGAAGCCCCAGUAAACGGCGGCCGUAACUAUAACGGUCCUAAGGUAGCGAAAUUCCUUGUCGGGUAAGUUCCGACCUGCACGAAUGGUGUAACGAUCUGGGCACUGUCUCAGCCACGAGCUCGGUGAAAUUGUAGUAUCGGUGAAGAUGCCGAUUACCCGCAAUGGGACGAAAAGACCCUGUGAACCUUUACUAUAACUUCGUAUUGACUUUGAGUAAGUAAUGUGUAGGAUAGGUGGGAGGCUAUGAAGCUGGCACGCUAGUGUUGGUGGAGCCGUUGUUGAAAUACCACCCUUUGCUUACUUGGAGCCUAACUUCUGAAUAAGAGUAAGAAGGACAUUGCGUGGUGGGUAGUUUGACUGGGGUGGUCGCCUCCAAAAGAGUAACGGAGGCUUUCAAAGGUACCCUCAGCACGCUUGGUAACCGUGCGUAGAGUGUAAUGGCAUAAGGGUGCUUGACUGUGAGACCAACAAGUCGAUCAGGUGCGAAAGCAGGACAUAGUGAUCCGGUGGUUCCGUAUGGAAGGGCCAUCGCUCAAAGGAUAAAAGGU